rnacentral:lncRNA from 7 species
CAGAGGGAGAAGCUCCCCGGACGAGAGGGCGACAGCGAUGCCACAGCUAGAGGAGGGCACUGGAGAAAGUGGAAGAUGACUCGUUUGUGCCCAGUCAGUGCAGGGCACUGCAGGGUUUUAAGAGCGUUGUCUCAGUUGCAAGGCAGUGCCGGAUCCAAAGACCGUACAGCUGCAUCACUGCAGUACUACAUAAAAGCUAAUUAGCCCAGGUCUACCAAAGAGAGAUUGUAAGUGGAAAACACAUGGAAGAAAAUCACUAGUGCUGCAGGAAAGCAUUCCUUUCCUAUUAUAAUAUUUGGAGUUUUCUACUUAACAUUACCAUAUCAACUGGAAAUACUUAGUGAUUGCACAGAAUCCCAUGGAACAAGAAAUCCUACGAAAAUGCACUGCUACAGGCCCAGACUUCCACCCUACACCAGAAGAGUUUUGCCACUGCUUCAAAUGAGAAUUCCUGGAGCACGAUCCAAAGCCUUCUGAAAUCGCUGAUUCUUCUUCUCUUCUAGUUCUGGUUCAUGCAAAUAACAAAACACACUAAAAUAGAAGAGAAGAAGUGCUUAGAGCUGUCUGAGGAAACAUGGGACAGGUCCUCAGAUAAAUGCUGAGGGAGUAUCAAACGGAUAUUAUGAAGAUGAUAAAAUUACAUUGUGACUGAAAGACAGUUUAUUUCAAGGGAGAGUGUGAGGUGAUCAAAACGUGUGAAGUUCAAAAAGCCCUCCUGCAACAGUAACCGUACUGCAAGUUGUGUACAUCACCCCUGAAUGUAAAAUCUUCACAUCUUUGAUGCAUUUAUCCUUUCAUUAAAGUUUCUUAUC